AAGAGUUGUAAUAGCUCACAGAACUCCAGUUGCAUAUGGGAAUGUUUAUCAUUCUGUGUAACAUGUAACAAUGGGCACUGAAAGGAAGCAGGCAGCGUCUCGGGGCACUUCUGCCUAAUGUGUGUUUCUGGUCUUACUGUAAGUACAAGUUCUUUUUCACUUGCUCCUCUUCUCUCAGAGUUUGAGUUGAGUCUGCCCAGCUCAUCAGAGAAUGGAGGCUCUGCAGAAUGAAACUGUUGAAGACCUGAACGUCCUCUUCAAAGAUCACCUGCUGAUUCAGAUGCUAUGUCUGUUUAGAAGGACCUUCGACAAGUCAUCCUUGGUACCUACAGCAUCAGAUGACUCCUUCAGUCAAUGUUAGAAUUGUGAUCGAGGGUGUUGAAGUUCAUCACCUCUGCAUGUGCACUCUUAAUGGGUGUAAUAUAUGCACUGAACCUGUUCUCCUCAGGAACUAAAAGCCUUCUUUCAAGUGCUUCAGAAACUUCUUCCUUCAGGUGGAUUCUCAGACUCUCAACCAAGGUACAAA
rnacentral:lncRNA from 15 species